AAUUUGCAACUUAAACAAAUUUACCAUCUAUUAAUGGAACCUCAAGAGGGGUUACCUACUACCUCGGUAAUUCCAAGAGAAGAACCACCAGAACACAUGCACCAGAGCAUGGAUCAGCAAGAGGCAGAGCGACAAACACACCGAAAGAAGUUUCCAAACUAUGCUGAUUUUGUCGUUUAGUACAGGUCAAGCACCAGAAAAACGGUUUGGGAGACUAUAUGAUGACACAGAA
rnacentral:lncRNA from 1 species